UGUAAUUUUAAAAAUUAAGCUCUGUGGUACAUUUUCAAAGCACACCUUUCAUUUUCAUUUUUCAUUUUGUUUUAGGAGCUCUUUGUUCAAUGCCUAGCCACCUAUUCCUACAGACACGGCAGUGGAAAGGAAAAGAAAGUACUGACUUACAGUGAUUUAGCAAAUACUGCACAGGAAUCAGAAACUUUUCAGUUUCUUGCAGAUAUAUUACCAAAGAAGAUUUUAGCUAGUAAGUACCUGAAAAUGCUUAAAGAGGAAAAGAGGGAAGAAGAUGAGGAGAAUGACAAUGAUAAUGAAAGUGACCAUUAUGAAGCGGACUCCUAAACCAAAAAAGUGCUUUAAAAACAAGCCUGGCGAGGACGGCCCUGGACCCACUCCACUGUCUCUAAGUAAACACAGCACUGCCUGCUUUUAGCGUCUUUACUUCUUCACAGACUUCCAGUGCGUGGUAUUCUUUCGAGGUAUUCUUUCCAGGCCGAGAUUGAGCACCUCAUGCACCUACGCCACAAACAGCCGGAGGGAAAGCGACCCAGACAGCAGCCCCUCCUCGACAGGCCCACCCUGUAGCUCAGGCACCAAGAAAACAGCCGAUACUGGCAGCCAUUGCAGCUCCAAACUGC
rnacentral:sRNA from 1 species